AACAGAUUUGAGAGCCCUGAGUAGAGUAGUCCAUCACAGCCUGGAGUUCCUUUACCUAAGGUAACCAAUGAAGACUGGCAAAUAGCUUGUAGCAACAGUAAAUGUCCUAAAAACAAGACUCUUCAGUUUAUAAAAAGAACUAAUUGGGUUCUCCCACAUACUAUAAAAGGAAUACCAAUUCCUGAAGCACCUACAUUUUAUACUGAUGCAACUUGGACAGCAUGCAGUCAGCAGUUUGAAGCAAGGCCAGUUUCUUGCCCGGUGGCAGCUUGCCACAUUUGAAGCAAACUCAACAAGGAUGUUCUUCAAUGUUCAUUAUCUUCUUUGAAAUUGUAUGGGGGUGCUGCCAGAAUCUGACAUGUCUCAUUGUCAAAAAAAAAAAGUCUUAAACUAAUAAAACAUCUUUAAAUGCCAUCUAUCUCAGUGUAUUUGAAUAGGGAAACUUUGCUUGUCUCUAGUUUACUCUCUGAUUAACUUUGAAAACCUCCAUGAUUAACUAAACUAAUAGCUAACGAAACU
rnacentral:lncRNA from 1 species